rnacentral:rRNA from 1 species
UACGGAGGGGGCAAGCGUUGUUCGGAAUCACUGGGCGUAAAGGGCGCGUAGGCGGCGCCGUAAGUUAGGCGUGAAAGACCCGGGCUCAACCCGGGAACUGCGCUCGAUACUGCGGCGCUCGAGUCCGGGAGAGGAUGGUGGAAUUCCCAGUGUAGAGGUGAAAUUCGUAGAUAUUGGGAGGAACACCGGUAGCGAAGGCGGCUAUCUGGACCGUUGCUGACGCUGAUGCGCGAAAGCGUGGGGAGCAAACAGG